rnacentral:rRNA from 1 species
CGUAAAGAACCUGCCUCAUAGACUGGGACAACAUUGAACGAUAGCUAAUACCGGAUAACAGUAUUUCUCGCAUGAGAGAUAUUUAAAAGUUGGUUAUGCUAACACUAUGAGAUGGCUUUGCGGUGCAUUAGCUAGUUGGUGGGGUAAAGGCCUACCAAGGCGACGAUGCAUAGCCGACCUGAGAGGGUGAUCGGCCACACUGGGACUGAGACACGGCCCAG